rnacentral:rRNA from 1 species
GAUGAACGCUGGCGGCGUGCCUAAUACAUGCAAGUCGAGCGAACGGACGAGAAGCUUGCUUUUCUGAUGUUAGCGGCGGACGGGUGAGUAACACGUGGAUAACCUACCUAUAAGACUGGGAUAACUUCGGGAAACCGGAGCUAAUACCGGAUAAUAUUUUGAACCGCAUGGUUCAAAAGUGAAAGACGGUCUUGCUGUCACUUAUAGAUGGAUCCGCGCUGCAUUAGCUAGUUGGUAAGGUAACGGCUUACCAGGGCAACGAUGCAUAGCCGACCUGAGAGGGUGAUCGGCCACACUGGAACUGAGACACGGUCCAGACUCCUACGGGAGGCAGCAGUAGGGAAUCUUCCGCAAUGGGCGAAAGCCUGACGGAGCAACGCCGCGUGAGUGAUGAAGGUCUUCGGAUCGUAAAACUCUGUUAUUAGGGAAGAACAUAUGUGUAAGUAACUGUGCACAUCUUGACGGUACCUAAUCAGAAAGCCACGGCUAACUACGU